GACGAACGCUGGCGGCGUGCUUAACACAUGCAAGUCGAACGGAAAGGCCCUGCUUUUGUGGUGUUCUCGAGUGGCGAACGGGUGAGUAACACGUGAGUAACCUGCCCUUGACUUUGGGAUAACUUCAGGAAACUGGGGCUAAUACCGGAUAGGAGCUCCUGCUGCAUGGUGGGGGUUGGAACGUUUCGGCGGUUGGGGAUGGACUCGCGGCUUAUCAGCUUGUUGGUGGGGUAGUGGCUUACCCAGGCUUUGACGGGUAGCCGGCCUGAGAGGGUGACCGGCGACAUGAGGACUGAGAGACGGCCCAGACUCCUACGGGAGGCAGCAGUGGGGAAUAUUGCACAAUGGGCGGAAGCCUGAUGCAGAAACGCCGCGGGCGGGAUGACGGCCUGCGGGUUGUAAACCGCUUUCGCCUGUGACGAAGCGGGAGUGACGGUAAUGGGUAAAGAAGCACCGGCUAACUACGUG
rnacentral:rRNA from 1 species